rnacentral:rRNA from 2 species
UCAUGGCUCAGGAUGAACGCUGGCGGCGUGCCUAAUACAUGCAAGUCGAGCGAAUGGAUUAAGAGCUUGCUCUUAUGAAGUUAGCGGCGGACGGGUGAGUAACACGUGGGUAACCUGCCCAUAAGACUGGGAUAACUCCGGGAAACCGGGGCUAAUACCGGAUAACAUUUUGAACCGCAUGGUUCGAAAUUGAAAGGCGGCUUCGGCUGUCACUUAUGGAUGGACCCGCGUCGCAUUAGCUAGUUGGUGAGGUAACGGCUCACCAAGGCAACGAUGCGUAGCCGACCUGAGAGGGUGAUCGGCCACACUGGGACUGAGACACGGCCCAGACUCCUACGGGAGGCAGCAGUAGGGAAUCUUCCGCAAUGGACGAAAGUCUGACGGAGCAACGCCGCGUGAGUGAUGAAGGCUUUCGGGUCGUAAAACUCUGUUGUUAGGGAAGAACAAGUGCUAGU